rnacentral:lncRNA from 1 species
CUGCAUGGUCCUGGUUCCAUUUUUGUUGUUCUUCCAGGAGUCUUCCAUGUUCUGCUUGCGUAUUCUGGAUGUCGAGGAGGGUGUUGUCGGUACGAGUGAAGAAAGCACCAGCCUCUUGAUAGUAGUCAUUCGUGAAAGCGUAGGAGGCAUCGGAGUAUCGUCCUGCAUCAAAUUGGGACGGAGGUCUGGAUCCUGAAGCUCCGUAUGGAUCAGUGGAGUACCUGCCCGUAUGAAAAGGCGGGUUUGUCCACUGGUGAUCUUGGCUCUCCGGCCAUGUCUCCUCUGUUGGCUCUUGUGGUUGCGCAUGACGAACCCAUGGGUCUCGAAGGACUCGGGGGUUGUAAUCGCAAUAAUGCAUGUGCGCUGCUUCUUCU